AGCACACACACAAUUUUUUUUUUCUUGAUCAUUUAUUAUUAAUAUUAACAUCAAUACAAAAAUAAAAAUAAAAUCUGAAAUCUUUACAAAAAUGUUUUGCAGUCAAGAAAAAAAAAUCACAUAACAUGCAUUGCAGAUUUGUACAACCAAUUUAUAUGAUAUUUGAAACAAUAAUAUACACUGACAUUGGCUUGAACGUAGACCAUUUAAAGCAUUUAACCAUCAAAACUACAAACAGCGAUAUCCCCAUACACCCUGUCUAAGAAAUACAAGCAGUAUCCCCAUACACCUUGUCU